GAGGGUAUAGCUCAAGUGGUAGAGCACGUGCUUAGCAUGCAUGAGGUCCUGGGUUCAAUCCCCCGAACCUCCU
rnacentral:tRNA from 1 species